CUCAGUCCUUCCCUCAGCUUGAAGAAAAGCAGAAGUUUUUUUCUUAGAAUACUAUGACUCAGUGCGUUGCAUCUAACAGUUUUUUUAAUAACAGGCACAUUACAGCAGAUCCUCCUGCAGAUCUUGGCCAGCCAAAAACUGGUCAUCUUCCAGACAAACCUCACAUGUGAUGCAUCAUAUUGUCACAGAGACGUGUGAUAUUGACACAAAACUAGGUUCUAUGACACACAAAACAGUGAGCUGAGAUGGCAGUGCUGUCCUGUUUCAUGGACAGUGUGAUGGAGGAUUGCCAAAUGGAGCACAUCAGGGCUGGAGCGGCGGCCCACAGAUCUGCAGGGGACGGGGUGCGCUGUGGAGUAGCGGUUAACCCCAAACGUCGACGGAAGAAACAUCCCUUGUGUGCAUCUCGUGUGUGGGUGUUGUGAGGCCUUUUGAAGCGUAAUGCCACAGGAAGCUGCGAGGCCGAGGAGGAAGUCCUGUAACUACCCCCAGAAACUCGCUGCCAAGAGUCAGGAGCCCAGACCACCCAGAACCAGGUCUGGGAGGGAGCGAGGGAGGAAGGGAGAAGGGAACAGGUAGGGAAGGAAAUAUAGUGUUGAGAGAGUCUGUGUGCGUAUUAGCGGGGUGGUGGGGCACAUAAAUGAAAGAAACACCCUUGAUUAAAGGCUGGUUGGCAUCUGAGAAAACCACACUUGCCUCUUAACUGAUGUGGGAAAUGGAAAGCAGUGUAGGAACCCUGUCAUCCUGACCUGCGGUGGGCUGCGUCCUCCAUCACAUCGCUCUUUCCUACAGCUCCGGACUAAUUAAUGAUGUCACUUGAUCUGCAUAAUGCUAAGCUGCAUUGCUUGAUUACCUUUUGAAUUAUUUGUAAAUCUUUGAUGAGCCGUGGCAGGUUAAAACCGCGACUUUACGGCCCAUGUGUAAUAGACGAUAAUUGAACAGUAAUUGGUAGAUGGAUGCUCCGGGCAACAACAAAAGACUUGGAAAGGAUUGACGUAACAGGAUUGUUUUCAAGAACUAUGAUAAAUUCAACAAUUCACUGCAGUUUCCAGCUGAAAUGAACACUAGUGGCAGUAAAACACCAACAACUUUAGUUCCUUUUCACACAAAUUAUGAUUGCAGGGGUUUUAAGAUUAUUGAUUAAUCAAGACUUUAUUUUGCACUGUUCCUUGCACAAUACUAUGUUAUGACCCUAAAACACUUUUAUCAUAGAGCAUGAUUUGUAAACUAAUACAUUUUCAUCACAUAACCAGCUCCAUAUGUAUGUAUUUACUGAUGUAGUAAACUUGCUCAGUAGCUCACCUGAUACAGCAGUGCACUCGUGAUGUGAAGCGCUCGGGUCCUGUGAAAAACAAAUCACAAUAAAAGAGCUCAAAGA